AAUGAACGCUGGCGGCGCGCCUAAUACAUGCAAGUCGAGCGAGAAGACGUAGCAAUACGUUUGUAAAGCGGCGAACGGGUGAGGAAUACAUGGGUAACCUACCCUAGAGUGGGGAAUAACUAGCCGAAAGGUUAGCUAAUACCGCGUACGCUCCUUGGACUUCGGUUCAGGGAGGAAAGCGAUGCCGAGGGUAUCGCGCUCUUGGAUGGGCUCACGUCCUAUCAGCUUGUUGGGAGGUAACGGCUCACCAAGGCUUCGACGGGUAGCUGGUCUGAGAGGACGAUCAGCCACACUGGCACUGCGACACGGGCCAGACUCCUACGGGAGGCAGCAGUAAGGAAUAUUGCGCAAUGGGCGAAAGCCUGACGCAGCGACGCCGCGUGGGGG
rnacentral:rRNA from 1 species